rnacentral:rRNA from 1 species
UACGUAGGUGGCGAGCGUUGUCCGGAUUUACUGGGCGUAAAGGGCGUGCAGGCGGUUUGCUAAGUCUAGGGUGAAAGCUCCCGGCUUAACUGGGAGAGGUCCUUGGAUACUGGCAGACUUGAGGAGGGUAGAGGAGAGUGGAAUUCCCGGUGUAGUGGUGAUAUGCGUAGAUAUCGGGAGGAACACCAGUGGCGAAGGCGGCUCUCUGGCCCGGUACUGACGCUGAGGUGCGAAAGCGUGGGGAGCAAACAGG